AGAGUUUGAUCCUGGCUCAGAAUCAACGCUGGCGGCGUGCCUAACACAUGCAAGUCGCACGAGAAAGGGUAGCAAUACCUGAGUAAAGUGGCGCACGGGUGAGUAACACGUGAAUAAUCUACCUCCGAGUGGGGAAUAACUUAGGGAAACCUGAGCUAAUACCGCAUAACACUUACGAGUCAAAGCAGCAAUGCGCUUGGAGAGGAGUUCGCGGCAGAUUAGUUAGUUGGCGGGGUAAUGGCCCACCAAGACGAUGAUCUGUAUCCGGCCUGAGAGGGCGCACGGACACACUGGAACUGAAACACGGUCCAGACUCCUACGGGAGGCAGCAGUGGGGAAUUUUGCGCAAUGGGGGAAACCCUGACGCAGCAACGCCGCGUGGAGGAUGAAAUCCCUUGGGAUGUAAACUCCUUUCGAUCGGGACGAUUAUGACGGUACCGGAAGAAGAAGCCCCGGCUAACUUCGUGCCAGCAGCCGCGGUAAUACGAGGGGGGCGAGCGUUGUUCGGAAUUAUUGGGCGUAAAGGGUGCGUAGGCGGUUUGAUAAGUCUGAUGUGAAAUCUAUGGGCUCAACCCAUAGCCUGCAUUAGAAACUGUCGGGCUUGAGUAUGGGAGAGGUGAGUGGAAUUUCCGGUGUAGCGGUGAAAUGCGUAGAUAUCGGAAGGAACACCUGUGGCGAAAGCGGCUCACUGGACCAUUACUGACGCUGAUGCACGAAAGCUAGGGGAGCAAACAGGAUUAGAUACCCUAGUAGUCC
rnacentral:rRNA from 1 species